rnacentral:rRNA from 1 species
CGUCGUCCCCGGGUGAGUCGAGUCCUAAGGCGAGGCCGACAGGCGUAGUCGAAUGGAUGAACGGGUUGAUAUUCCCGUACCGGUGUUACACCGUUCGAACUGAAUCUGAGAGUACUAACCUUCGUUAUUCUGGUUGAUUGCCUUUCGGGGUUUUCUUCUGGUUUAGUGUUGGGACUGUAUCGGUAGUAGGUUAGCGUGGGAGUGACGCGGGUAGGUAGCCGGCUGCGGAGGUGGUUUUCCGUGGCUAAGCGUGUGGGCUGUCCUCUAGGUAAAUCCGGGGGAUGUUUAAGCUGAGGCGUGAUGGGUAGGCUGUAAGGCUGAUUCCGGUGAUCCUGCUUGCCGAGAAAAGCUUCAACGUGAGGUGUGAUUCCGCUCGUACCCUAAACCGACACUGGUGGUCUGGUAGAGUAUACCAAAGCGAUCGGGCGAAUCCUGGCCAAGGAACUCGGCAAAUUACUCCCGUGCCUUCGGCAUAAGGGAGACCCCUGAUGGUGAUGUUUUUUACAAGCGGAGCUGUUGGGGGUGGCACAAGCUAGGGGGUAGCGACUGUUUACCAAAAACACAGGAGCGUGCGAAGGCGUAAGCCGCUGUAUACGCUCUGACGCCUGCCCGGUGCCGGAAGGUUA